ACGGAGGAGCAGAAGAUAACCAAAAUAUUAAUCCCUAAAUGGGCAGCAUCCAUAAAACUGAUGCUCUGUCUGCAUCUUGAGUUAAUUAUUUGCCUAUUUUCAACUUUAAAGCACUGACCUGAUCUAAUUUCUCCCCUUUCCACGGAAUUUCUAAUAGGAAGAUUCAUUAAUCUUUUAUUUCUGUUGCUGACUGUGUCUUUAGGAUCAACAUCCAGAGAAAUGAUGCAAAUGCCUGACAAUUGCCAUUCACACCCUUUCUCUAAUAUUACUGUUGGAAAUGAAAACAUUGUGAGAACCUCUGAGGGAGCUCUUGCCCCAUUGCCUCGUUGUACCAGUGGAAAAGCGAAUGCCAGCCAAGAGGUCAUUGUUUGAAGUUCCUCAUUACCACAAUUUGCUGCUGUUAUAUACCAUGCUCAGCAAUGGAAAGAGUGGCCAGUAGUAGUAGUAAGUUGUGAAACAAAAGUGGUAGAAAGUAUCCGCAAGAGCUAUCAUCACCCAGUUUUAUUAAUUCAACAUACCAAAGACUUCAGUGAAGAAUUUAAUGGAAAUCAAGAUCACUUUGGCUUGGAAAUCACUUAAUAGAUAAUGCAAACUAUCCAGUCCAUGGUCUGCUGGUACAUUUUAAAACAUUGCCAAUCAAUUUUCUGUAGCCAUCCUUUGGUCUUUCAGAGAAGAAAGAGUCAUGUAUCCUUCUACAAGGUGAUACUUCAUAGCUCUCUGGAAGUUUUGGGUUGCAUGUUUGAGCACUUCAAGUAUUUCCAUCAAGUGUACAUUCAUCAGGUGACUCUGUUACCACAGAAAGAGACCAGAUGGAUGAUGCAGGCAGUUAUGCUGUCCAGGCACCUCCUCAACAACUGGUCAUCUCACACUAACAGCUCAUCAUUCUCCUUCUUCCUUCCUCAGCUGUUUGUGUUGCUUCACUAUAAAUGAAUCAAUGCUGUUUGCCUCAACCACUCCUUGUGGGAAUACAUCAAUAUUUUGGUGAUGCUUGUUUCAACAGCUUUCAUGAGGUUCUUCUUUUGAUUCAUGAAUGGCAAAUGGUCAGCACAAUGGCAAAGCUCGUAGAGUUACUGCCUCACAGCUCCAGCAAUGUCAUCUUCCAUACAAAAUUUUGGACUUCUUUCUUCCCAACCAUCAAUCUUCCAAUCUUUCUGAACCCAACUUGUAUAAAUUAGCUUUCAAACCCCUAAAGAAAGUUUCCAAUCCUUGCAAAAUUUGGCAAUGACUCAAAGCUAAGAGUAACACAAAACUGUGGUAUGAAAUAUGAUAGAAAAAUACAGAACUUCAACCAAUUUAUUAAUUAAUAUCUGUAAAAAUAAGUCUCAUCACUUGCUAUGUUCAUUAUUAAUAUUAUGGCAUUACAAGAGAAUGUAAUGACAUAGCACAGAAUGGCAUAGCUCCAGCAACCCAGCUUCAAUCCCGACUUCCAGUGCUCUCAGUGUGGAAUUUGCACACUGAUCACGUGUGUUACCUCAGGGUGCUCCCAUUUCCUCCCACAUCCCAAACAUGUACAAUUUGGAAGGUUUAUUGGCCAUUGUAAGUAUUGUCCUUGGUAUGUAAGUGAGUGGCAGAAUCUGGGGAGAAUUGAUAGGAAUAUGGAGAUUGGUGUAAAUGAAUGCUUGAAUGUCAGGGUGGACUCAGUGGGCCAAAGAACCUGCUUCAGUGCUGAAUGAUUCUAUUGCUUCCAUGAUUAUCAGCUCUAAAGUUAAUAAUUAAGGCUAUCGAGUAAAUAAAAAAAUUAAUUGUGAUUAAUGAUGCAAUAAAAGCAUUAAUUACAGAUUUAUUACACUUUUAAUCAGUGUGUAAAACAAUGGAAUACCAAUAUUUUUGAUGAGUUCAAAAGAAAACGCUUUACCUUUGAGAGAGAUCAGAUACAGAGAGAGAGUGAUGGAGUCGAGUGAGGGGAUGAAUAGAGGAAGGGGAGUCAACAGGAGCAUCUUCUUUUAUUUCAGGUGUGUUGAGAAUGUCUCUGCAGUGAGAGUUUGGGCUGCCCAUUGGUGAGAUUUCAUGUACAGAAAAAGUCAAUUUACAGGAGCAGUGGACAAUGUAUAAGUGUUUAGCCACAGAGGCCCAUUGCAAAAAAGUAUGCAGUUGUCUGUUAUGGACUGUAGUUAUUAUUUAUUAUUUUUCCAAGAUCUGUGGGUUGCCGGCAAGGCUUAUAUUUAUUAUCCAUCCCUCAGAAGUUGAUAAUAAGCUGCUUUCUUGAAAUACUUUUUUUCUUCUGGUGAAGGUACUCCAGCAAUUCAGUUGGGGAGGAGUAAACUGGAUUUGGACUUAGUGACAAUGAAGAAUUGGCCAUUUACUUCCAAAUCAGGAUAGUGUGAGACUUAGAAGGGAACCUGUAGGUGGUGGUGAUUCUAUUUGCUACCGUCCUCAUACUCCUUGGUGGUAUAUGUUUGGGAGGUGCUGUUGGAGUGGCCUUGGUGAGUAGCUGCAGUGCAUCUGGUAAAAUCUAGAGCCACUGUGUGCUAAUGGUGGAGAGAAUGAAUGACUUGGGCUUUGGAAGGGCCUUAGGGUGUCAGGAGAUGAGUCAUUCACUGCAGCAUGCCCAGCUUCUGUCCUGCUCUUGUAGCCAUAAUCUUUAUGUGGCUGGUCAAGCUAAGCUACUGGCCAAAUUGAGAUCCCCAGGAUGUUGAUAGGGCGGGACUAAUUGAUGGUAAUACCAUUGAAUUCCAAGGGUAGGUAGCUGGACUCUCUCAUGUUGGAAACAUCUUUACCUGCCACUAAUUAUUGUCUAAAUGUUUCCUAAAUCACCGCAUGAAGUAAAGGGCUGCUUCAUUAGCUGACGAGUUGUGAAUGGAAUUUAACAUUGUACGAUCAGCUACAUGUAUCCCCACUAUUGACUUUGUGAAGAACCAUCUGAAGACGGUUGGGCCUAGGAUGCUGCCCCAAAGAAGUCCUCUAGUAGUGUAGUUGACCUCCAAUAACUACAACUGUCUCGUGUGAUAUAAUUCCAGGCAUUGGAGUACUUUCUCCUUGAUGCCCAUUGACAAGUUUUACCAGAGUCCUUGAUGAAACACCUGACAAAAUGCUGCCUUGAUAUCAAGGACAUUCACCCUUGUUUUGGCUCUGGAGUUUACCUCUUUGAUCCAUGUUUGGACCAAGGCUGUGAUGAGAUCUGGAGAGGAGUGAUCCAGCUAAACCCAAACUGGACAUCAGGGAACUGAUUAUCGAUCGUUCCCAGGUUUCAACAGGAUUCCAUUCCUGUGAAUUGUUCGUAACCAAAGCAGUUUGCAAGUUGGAAAUGUGGCCACAACGCAAGUUCUCACAGUGUAGAAGAUGCCUGCAGUUCACAGCAGCCAGAAAAUUCAUCCCGCCGAUCUCCCAGGUGCUCGUUCCUAUGUACAGGCUGUACAUAAGUUGGGGGUUCAUAAGCUGGGGAGCACCUGUAUUCAUUCAAGGGAUGAGGACUUCACAGGCUGAGCCAGCAUUUAAUUGCCCAUCCUUCGUUGCCCUCGAGAAGGUGGUGAUGAACUGCCUUCCUGAACCAUUGUAGUCCCUGAAGGACAUGAAUGAACCAAGUCAGUUUGUACUGUUUCGCAGUCACCUUCUGCUACCAGCUUUUUAUUAAUUACUUUUCAAGAAGUUUGUUCAUGUCUGUGGCUAUCAGCAAGCCAGACUCUCACCAAAAGUGAUUUCAGUUUCUAAAACAUUAAACGAGAAAGACCUCAAUAGAUAUAUUGCCACCCACAAAAUCCAUCUGUUAACCAAGUUUGUCCCCAAAGCCUGUCCACCAUCUACAAGGUUCAAGUCAAGAGUCUGAUGGAACACUCUCCACUUGCGUGGAUGACUGCAGCUUCAUCAACACUCAAGAAGUUUGACACCAUAUAGGACAUAACAGCCCGCUUGAAAGGCACCCUAUCCCCAACCAUUCACUCAUUCCAUCACUGACGCACAGUAGCAACAGUUUGUACCAUCUACAGGAGGCACUGCAGCAACUCAUCAAGACUCCUUAGACAGCACCUUCCAAACCCACGACCUAUACCAGCUAGAAGGACAAGGGCAGCAAAAGUAUGGGAACACCACCAAGCUUUCCAAACCACUCACCAUCCUGACUUGGAAAUAUAUUGCUGUGCCUUCACCAUCACUGGGUCAAAAUCCAUGAACUCUCCCUAACAGCGUUGUGGCCAUACGCACACCUCAAGGACUGCAGUGAUUCAAGAAGGCAGCUCACCACCACCUUCUCAAGGGCAACUAAGGAUGGGCAAUUAAAUGCUGGCUGAGCCUGCAAAGCCCACAUCCCUUGAAUCAAUAUUAAAAAAAGUGUACUGUGCUUUACUACUUUGAGAAGCAUCUUAAGUUUCAGUAUGUUCAUGUUAUAACUUUGAAGGCUUCUGAUUUACGCAUUCUGGCUUUUAUUUCUCUUAUAGCCAGGAAAGCUGUAUUGCUUAAAUGGAAGGAAGUUACUCCGCCUACUCAUGCUCAAUGGUUACGGGAUGUUAUGUCAUACUUGAAUCUGGAGAAGAUUCGCUGUUCAGUUUUUGAAUCUAACUUAGACUUUCAAACCUUGUGGGAACCAUUUUUGAAUUAUUUUCAAUAUCUCUGAUUUGGUGACUAAAACGCAGAUAUUGGCUGACACUGUUACGUUUUAAGGGUUUUUCCUUGUUGUUCUUUCCAUCAAACAGCUUCGGUUCUUGGUAG